rnacentral:rRNA from 1 species
UACGAAGGGGGCUAGCGUUGUUCGGAAUUACUGGGCGUAAAGCGCACGUAGGCGGAUUUGUAAGUCAGGGGUGAAAUCCCGGGGCUCAACCUCGGAACUGCCCUUGAUACUGCAAAUCUCGAGUCCGGAAGAGGUGAGUGGAAUUCCUAGUGUAGAGGUGAAAUUCGUAGAUAUUAGGAAGAACACCAGUGGCGAAGGCGGCUCACUGGUCCGGUACUGACGCUGAGGUGCGAAAGCGUGGGGAGCGAACAGG